CAAAGGCAGGGAGGAAGAAGAAAAUAGAGUACACACACCCCCUAAGAGGUCAACUAGCCAACAAUUACCUUUCUUUAACUGGGAACAGGUGAAGCCUCAAGAUAAACUUAGAACUCCUACAAAGAUUAUUCUCCUUUCUGGGAAAAACUAUAAAUUUUCAACAAGGACAUAAAUGUGAGUGACCUGCAGAAAAGAAUAAAGCAAACUCCUGAAAAUGCGGAGCAGGAGCCCUCCAGGUAAGGACACGGGGCCAACUGAACCACCUUGAAAACUGCUAGCCUCAACUGUUCUGUUACAAUAUGGAACGGCCUCCGCACACUCCCACAUUUGCAAUAUGGAACGGCCUCUGUGCUCUGACACUGAGUGGGUUUUUUUUUUUUUUUUUUUGGUGGUUUUUUUUUUUUGGAGGCUCUAGAAACUUUAGGAGGUGGAGUCUAGUUGGAGGAUGUAGGUCACUGGGGGUGGGGGUGGAGGUGGGGUACGUUAUCCUUUCUCUCCUUUCUCUGCUCUCUGGCUACCAUUACCACUGCCACGUUCUUCCAAAGUGAACAGGGUGCAGGGGCAACAGACUGAACUCUGAAACAGUGAGCCAUAGGCAAUUUUUCCCCUCUUUCAGACAUUCUGUCAGGUAUUUUAGUCAUAGUUACACAAACUCAGCUAAAAUGUCCAAAAUAUAUUCAUCACUUGGCAAUCCACUUAUAUACUAGUGUCUUAUAUGUAUACUCUUUACAUACAGUGUCUUGCAUGUAUAAAACCCGAAUUCAUGCUCAUGUCCAAGGAAGAAUCCCAAGAACAUUCGUGACCAUAGCAUACAACCUAAGCCACUGUAUACUACCCAGAGGUCCACCAGCAAUGGUAUGUACGAAUAAACGUGGAUGUACUCAUGCAAUGCAAUGCUGUAUAGAGUUGGAACUCAGUGUCCUGUGACUACAGAUAGCAUCACAGAUGAAUCUCAAACAAUAAAUGAAACUGCAUGCAAAGGAAUUCAUGGUGCUUUAUUCUACUUAGGUUUUUAGGCCUGGCUGCCCUGGAAUUCACUCUGUAGAUGACCAGGCUGGCCUCAGACUCAGAGAUUCACCUGCCUCUGCCUCCUGAGUGCUGGGAUUAAAGACCACCACCACCAUCUAGCUUUUUUUUUUAAUAACAAAGCCAAAAAAUAUUAUCCCCAGACACAACUUUAUCUGGGGAGAAGAUAGUGAGGCUCAGGCUAAUGGGGGUGUGUCUUGGACAUUUUCUUACCUUGUAUCCAUGUUUUGUGAUCAUUUGUCUGGCUAUGUGCUUACUUCCUGUGUGCUUUUAGAAUGUGUAUUCCAUAAAUCAUAUUUCAACAAUAAAAAAUGUUUGUUUACAGCAUGGAACCCUUAAAAACAAAAACCACUAGUAUUCAAGGAAAUAUUUUGCUUAGGAAUGGAACUACCUUCCAUACCAGCUGCCUUAAACCAGCAGAUGUGUUCAUCUUGUGAGGCCUCAUUCAAAAAGUCAUUGUUGUGUGUGUGUGUGUGUGUGUACACGUACACAUGUGUGCAUGCACAUAUGUGAGUGUAUAGUCAUGUGUAUAUGUGAGAUCAUGUUUGUACUUAUGUGUACAUGUGUGAUAUAUUAUGUGUAUGUGUAUGUGUGUGUGUGUGUGUGUGUGUGUGUGUGUGUGUGUGCAUGACACACACAUGUAUCUCAUAUGUGUGUAAGAGGCAGGUAGGAAUAUAUCAAGUCUCUUUCCCAGCCUGGAGGUGGAGGAUGUGGGGUCCAUCAGGGACACUAUUCCUUGGGGAUUGUGGCAAAUAUAAGCACCAGACAUGUGUUUUCAUAAAGAUGGGGAUGUGGGGGAAACAGAAGGCAGAGAGCAGAGCUGGCUAAGAGGCAGCCCAUGACAUGCACACACUAGCCCACAUAUUUUAGGUAUGGUUGCAUGACUAACAACAUAACCACCUAGCCAUCUUCAGCAUCCCCAGAAAUGACAACAGCCUGGCCAGAUCUGUCUGGUUUGGGUACUCACUCUCUCUUUUCUGGACAUGUUCCAUCUACCACUGACUUCACCAACCUGUCAGAAUUGACCACUUCAUUAAGGCAGCAAUAUGAGGGGCUUAGUGCACACCUUUAGUCUUAGCAUUCAGGAGGCAGAGGCAAGCGGGUUUCUGUCAGCCAGAAUUACAUAGCAGGCUACCCAGAGGUCCACAGUGAGUCCUUGUCUCAAAAAAGAAAAAGAAAAAGAAAAAAAAAAGGAUAGGAAAGCUGCUACAAACAUUUCUAGUUCAAUCAAAAAGGCAAAAAUGACCUUGACCUUGGAAAAUGAAAACGCAAUCCUCAGCAAAGUAUCUCAUUAAAUCACAAAUACCUUGGAUCUUGUUUAUUAGUCUCCAUUGCAAAUACCAAGCUCAGCAGUAAAUCAGCCAUAGCAGUAGCCAGGUAUCCAUGUGUCCCAAUAAAACUUUAUUUACAAGAACAAACAGUGGUCCAAAUGUGAUCCAUUAGCUUUAGUUUGCAGAGCCCUGCUCUGAGGUGCAGCCAUAUUUAGGACUGAGCAAACACUGUUUGGGAAGUGGGUUAAUUUCCUGAGACCUUGAAACAAACGUCAGAGACAACACCAGGUAGCACACUUGAUGUGCAUCCCACUGAGUGGCUCUUCUCUGCUCUCAGAGGCCUUCGGAAGCACCCUUCACCUGAGAACUUCCUGGGCUUGCAUUCACAUUGAGCCCCGCCUCUUUCCCAGCCUGCCCCCCUUGCCUCUGUAGCACACACCACGCUGGCCUGGCCCCAGCACUCUGUGUCUGCUGUGGGUGCAGGGCCAUGCCUCUGACCUCUUCCCUACACUGCUGCCCCUCCCCCAGGAAUCCCUCUUUCCUGCUACCAGAUGGGCUUUGUCUUUCAAGAGAUCCUUCAAGAGUCUCUGCCUAAAAAA
rnacentral:lncRNA from 1 species